CAGUUUGGUGUUCUGGACUCACAAUAAAAAUGAUAAUGAUGGGAGACUAACAGUACCCUCUGAGAUGUAUGUUUGAAGGAUGUAGAGAAGGAGAAGUAGCAACAAAUCUCACAGAGUGCAGAUGAUCAGGAAUCAUGGUGUUUGGUGAGCUGGAAUCUACUAGCAUCCACAAUGCAUUGUCACUUAACUCACAAUCAGCAAUGAGAAAAGAAUGGAUUUCAGUAAUAUUGAGGACACCGGCAGAGUUGUUCAACACCAUGGAAAUUCUGAUACAUUAUGAACGGGGGGCUUACAUGAUUUAGCAAAAUGUUCUUUUAAAAUUGUAUUUCUUGCAUGUUGUAGAUUUUGCUAGGACACAUGUAAACAUCUGUGUUUAGGAGUUCCACACCAGUAAUACUGAUCAGCCAGUUUGCGAUUACAAAGGGGCAGAAAUUUUCUUGCUAAUAGUCUAAUGCUAUACUAAAUAUCUGGAGAUAACAAUCUAGCAAGUAACUAUUUAGAACAGCGAAGAGCACUUUUCACCUCCCGAGCAAUUUCAGUUGUUUUUUCAAGACUCAGACCCUUUUCCAUGAGGAACUUCUCAUGGAUUUUGGGAUUAUUUGUCUUAAUUGCAAUUUGAUCCUCUGUCAUCUCAUCUGCACAAAGAAGUAUACAAGUUCCACUCAAGUCAUGCAGCUGAGCUCUACAUUGGUCAAAAGACUCCUGGGGUAUGAUUAUAUGAGAAUUUAAUUUACGAUGUUCUGAUACAUCACUCAACAUGGAAUUAAAAUCUUCAUCCAGGACCCAUAUGACUGCAUUGUUGCGGGCUGCGUCUUGCAGCCUUCAGGGCCAAAGCAAUGUGUAAGCAGAGCCUUCUCUGUUCUGGAGAGAAGACAUUAAUUGCUAUCGCUAGUACAUAAUUACUGAAAGAGAAAUACGACUUCCAUUGUUCCCAUGGGAGCCUGGGAUCACCAGCAGUGAGCAGGAAGAAAAUGGGGAUAAAAUCUGUGACAUGGUUGAAAAUAGCACAAGACAGGCACUCAUACUGCAGUCGUGGUUCCUAGAUGAACAAUAGAAACUGUGUCCACACAGAGGCAUUAUUUUGCAAGCAGGAUGUUCAGUUUGAUUUUUUGCAUUCGCAAUUUGCUUGCAAACACCCCCCCCCCUAUUUCUCAUUCACCAUUGACCUUGCUGCUCCAUCACUUACUGUCCACUUUAGUGGGUGAAGCCUGUUGGAAAAGAGUCCUGAUAUGUUCCUCCCUUCAGUUCCUCCUCCACUCCCUUUUUACAUUCUGGGCUCAUAUGCAGGUAUUUCUGUACGUUGUCUUUUUGAAGAAGAAAAAAGUCCCUAGAAAUAUGCAAGAUCACAAAAGUAAAUGCUUCACAAUGGACAAACAAGUGGGUGGGAGGGCACUUCCCAGUUUUUUAAAAACCUUGCUGAGAGUUUUGCACAAGACUUAAAUUUGCCUGAAUCUAAACAACUGUGCGCAAGUUAUCCCAAUGUCCCCCGAAGCCUCAUUGCUACCUCUUGAGACCUCUUUACCUUGUGAUGUGUAACCACUCCAAUCAUUCUUCAGUGCGGAUUAUUUUAUUUGCGGCCAUAAUUAUAUGCCCUCAUGAAAAUCCAUAUGCAUUUAAGAGGGAAUGUCUCCUAAUAUACAUAUUUUUGCAAAGCAGUUUCCCCAAAUAGAAUGCAUUUUAAUGUUUGUUCAUUUUUACUAAUAUCUUGUUACAGAUUUGCAGAGGGCAAGGAUCCCCCCAAAUUCCUGGGUGCCAGGUUCUACUCAUAAUGUGGGGUCAAGCCAAGUGCCUCAGGAGCUAGGCUUACAGUCUGCCAUCCAAGAACAAAGACACGUGAUAGUGGAGUCAAAAGGUGAGACAUUCAGCAUUAGACUAGAAAGGGUUGCAGGGGGCAUGGUGUCACCACAGGAAAAGGUUCUGGAAGUGGAAGGGGAGGAGUUGUUUUCUGCAAAGGCUGCUGGGAAGAAGAAGGUGGAAGAAAGCAGAGCUCCUUGCGACCCUCGAUGGAGAAGGCUGCACUCAGAAACCGGGGGUCACGACUGGCUGCUGCUUUGGACCCAAGCUUGCUGAAGCUAUGAGAGGAGACCCUCUUAGGGUGUAAUGUUCUGCAUCCUUCCACUGAAGGCUUAGCUGUAAAUAUGCAUAAAAUAAACCAUAUUUCUUCCAUAUGCCUUGAUUUUCCAACGGAAACACAACUUUGGGUGAACACUGGAACCCCCUGGAAUCUUUCUACCUCUUGGCAGAGAUUGUGGGUGGCAUAUAACAAUCUGCGUUUUUGUCCACACCCUGCCCUAGUAUAUGCAUUUGGGGACAUAUUACUUGGCUGCAGACCUGCAUUGCAAAAUCUGAAGAAAUGAGGAUUUUGAAAGAUGGCCGAGUUUCUGUUUGCUUGUUGUGUCAAAAAGUGCAAAUAGGGUAGGUUCAUCUCUAAAGACAAACUGAAUUGAACUGCUCCUCCAGCCCUACUUUGGAGUAAUGGGGCUUACUUCUGAGUAGGCACAACUGAGACUGCAGUCUUGGACUUAUUGGCCCUGGAACAGGAGGCAGCCGAGGCAAAGCAAGA
rnacentral:lncRNA from 1 species